rnacentral:rRNA from 1 species
AAAGGAAUAGACGGGGGCCCGCACAAGCAGCGGAGCAUGUGGUUUAAUUCGACGCAACGCGUAGAACCUUACCAGGGCUUGACAUCCCCUGACCGCCCAAGAGAUUGGGUUUCCCUUCGGGGCAGGGUGACAGGUGGUGCAUGGUUGUCGUCAGCUCGUGUCGUGAGAUGUUGGGUUAAGUCCCGCAACGAGCGCAACCCUCGUGCUAUGUUGCCAUCAGGUAAUGCUGGGCACUCAUAGCAGACUGCCGGGGACAACUCGGAGGAAGGUGGGGAUGACGUCAAAUCAUCAUGCCCCUUAUGUCCUGGGCGACACACGUGCUACAAUGGCCGGCACAGACGGAAGCGAAGCGGUGACGUGGAGCCAAUCUGAGAAAGCCGGUCCCAGUUCGGAUCGCAGGCUGCAACUCGCCUGCGUGAAGCCGGAGUUGCUAGUAAUCGCGAAUCAGAAUGUCGCGGUGAAUACGUUCCCGGGCCUUGCACACACCGCCCGU